ACAACCUGGUACCUACGUUCCUGGCCUCCUUGUACUUCCGAGUCUAUUAUCUACUAUUUGUAUUCAAAGUGUUCUAAUAUUGCACUUUCUUGUGUCCCAAAGAAACAUCCCACUCACCCCAACUCUCAUCUGCCUGCCUACGCGCUCUGCUUGCUACCUGCCUCGGUGUUUAAAAUGACCAAACCCAAAAGCAGGCCUUGCCCUCACUGCCAGGUCAUGAAUACUGUCAACCGCAAAACAUGCCUUUCAUGUUUUGCAAGCCUCUCACAAAAAAAGAGGAUUAAGUCCAAGGAGGAGAGUUUGCAUGUUGGUGACUGGGGGGAGAAUGUGAAGAAGCACCGCAACGCAGGCAGAGUAAUAGAUUCAGCCCGCAUAUCUGUCAAUAAGCUGCAUGAACUGGACUUAAAGCCCCUGCUCUUCAUGGGGAAAGAGAAGAGAGGGGGGGGGGUUUACAGCAGAGGUCAUUGCAGGCAUAGGCUUCAUACCAGAGGGGCCUGUGAGGGAGAUCAUUAAAAAAAUGACCACCCUUUAUGAAUACUAUCUUAAAUACCACAAUAGCCUCGUUGCCACAGCUGGUGAAGAAACAAGAGAAGAAACACCAGAAGCAACAUCCCCUGCCUCCACUCAGGAUCAAACCUUCACCCUUAACCUUGUCCCGGUCCCCCACCCACCUCCUAUGACUUCCUCUCUCUCUUUAUCUACUCUUCCUACUCCCUCUCUCUCUACAUCUACUCUU